rnacentral:rRNA from 1 species
CCUACGGGUGGCAGCAGUCGAGAAUCAUUCACAAUGGGGGAAACCCUGAUGGUGCGACGCCGCGUGGGGGAAUGAAGGUCUUCGGAUUGUAAACCCCUGUCAUGUGGGAGCAAAUUAAAAAGAUAGUACCACAAGAGGAAGAGACGGCUAACUCUGUGCCAGCAGCCGCGGUAAUACCGAGGUCUCAAGCGUUGUUCGGAAUCACUGGGCGUAAGGCGUGCGUAGGCUGUGUCGUAAGUCGUGUGUGAAAGGCGCGGGCUCAACCCGCGGACGGCACAUGAUACUGCGAGACUAGAGUAAUGGAGGGGGAACCGGAAUGCUCGGUGUAGCAGGGAAAUGCGUAGAUAUCGAGAGGAACACUCGUGGCGAAGGCGGGUUCCUGGACAUUAACUGACGCUGAGGCACGAAGGCCAGGGGAGCGAAAGGGAUUAGAUACCCCAGUAGUC